CCUGGUGGGAUAUUCAUUGCAGCGCAUGGAACAGGAGUGCUGUCUCUGUGAUCACAGCAAUUUGAGACCUAGCCACUCCCAGCAGCAGUGAUACUUUUUCUUUGCCUUCUAAAAGAGACAUGAUGCAAGUUCAUUUGGACAUAUAGAGGCUGCUGUUUCACUUUGGGCCUAGACCAUCUCAUCCCUGCAGCCCCUCAGGAAGGGAAUGGAACAGCAUGGAAUGCCAUCUGCUGAGGUGUUGAUGUGAGGAGCUUGAAUCCUAGCAUUGCUGGAAUUCCCAAGAAGAAACCCAAGAUCUACUGUACAGAGAAGGCCAGCCAGAGACAGUGUAUGGGGGGCAGGGGAGAGGGGGGGAUGCAGGGUCACAUGGCCCCCCCACCCCUGAUUUGCUGCUUGACUUGUAUUGAGCAUGCUCAGUAACAGUGCUGAAGCCAGCUGUCCUCAUUCUGCUCUCCCCUUAUCGGCAGGCAAGAGUGGUCUCUGCCCAGCAGUGAGUUUCGUAUCUGCAGGCUCCUCAGUCAUUCUUCUCCUUGUAGAAGGGGAACCCAAAGCCAGAUUCGGUCAGUAUGGAUAAUGUAUUGAAUUGGUGCUGAAGACUCUACCCACUAUGCACCUCAGAUCUGUCUCUCUCAAGUUGCUCCAUCACCACAGUAUCUAAGGGGCGAAUAUGAGCAUUAUAAAAUAGUAUCAUUGCUGUCUGGUUACAGAGGGCUUGUCUACACUACAAAAUUAGGUCAACUAAUUUAGGUCGACCUACAGCCAUAGCAGUAAUUCAAUUGGCUGUUGGUGUCCACACUACCCUCCUACUGCCAAUGGUGCGUGCCCACACCAGGAGCACUUGCAUGGCAUCAACUGAACUGGGGCAUUGUGGGGCACAGACAGCUGCACAGGGCUCACAGAUGGAACCCCCCAU